CAUUAAAUAUUUUCUUUUCAUAACGUUUUCUACACAGAGACACAGGCAGUGUACUUGUUCGGCGCUUGCUGUUUCCAGUAGUGCUUGUUGUUGAUCAGGCUCGGACGUGCCCAACAAUUCAAGAUAUGGCUUGUGCCUUAGAAGAUUGAUCAUUUCUGUUCGACGGUUUGGAAGCAAAUGAGUAAAACACAACAAUAAGGAAGCUUAUAUCGGAAGAGAGAAAGCAAUUUAUACAAGGCUCCGAGUUAUUGAGAGCUCGACUCUGAGCUUAUCGAACUUGGCUCCUUGUGCAUGUCAGAUAAGGAAGAUAAGAGGAUAAAUAUAAGGAAGAUAAAGAUAAGGAAGGAAGAUAAAGAUAAGAAGAUAAGGAUAAGGAUAAAGAAAAAGAAGAUAAAGAUAAGGAUAAAGAUAAGAAGAUAA
rnacentral:lncRNA from 1 species